rnacentral:rRNA from 5 species
AGACCCGAAACCCGGUGAUCUAGCCAUGGGCAGGUUGAAGGUUGGGUAACACUAACUGGAGGACCGAACCGACUAAUGUUGAAAAAUUAGCGGAUGACCUGUGGCUGGGGGUGAAAGGCCAAUCAAACCGGGAGAUAGCUGGUUCUCCCCGAAAGCUAUUUAGGUAGCGCCUCGUGAAUUCAUCUCCGGGGGUAGAGCACUGUUUCGGCUAGGGGGCCAUCCCGGCUUACCAACCCGAUGCAAACUGCGAAUACCGGAGAAUGUUAUCACGGGAGACACACGGCGGGUGCUAACGUCCGUCGUGAAGAGGGAAACAACCCAGACCGCCAGCUAAGGUCCCAAAGUCAUGGUUAAGUGGGAAACGAUGUGGGAAGGCCCAGACAGCCAGG